rnacentral:rRNA from 1 species
UACGGGGGGGGCAAGCGUUGUUCGGAAUUACUGGGCGUAAAGCGCGCGUAGGCGGCCUCGUAAGUCCGUUGUGAAAGUCAAAGGCUCAACCUUUGAAAGCCGAUGGAUACUGUGAGGCUAGAGUCCGGAAGAGGCGAGUGGAAUUCCUGGUGUAGCGGUGGAAUGCGCAGAUAUCAGGAGGAACACCAAUAGCGAAGGCAGCUCGCUGGGACGGUACUGACGCUAAGGCGCGAAAGCGUGGGGAGCGAACAGG